AACGCACAUUGCGCCCUCUGGCAUUCCGGAGGGCAUACCUGUUCGAGCGUCAUUACAACCCUCAAAGAUGACUCUUUGGCGUUGGGCGAUGCCUGGAGGCAUGCCCCAAAAUCAGCGAUGGCGGCCUUCGGCCACGGGCGCACAAAGGUGUCCAGCGGCCGGACGUCGUCAGCCGAUUGACGAAUCUCCAAAUGUUGACCUCGGAUCAGGUAGGGAUACCCGCUGAACUUAA
rnacentral:misc_RNA from 1 species